CCUACGGGUGGCAGCAGUGGGGAAUAUUGGGCCAUGGGCGAAAGCCUGACCCAGCAACGCCGCGUGAAUGAAGAAGGCUUUCGGGUUGUAAACUUCUUUUGACAGGGAAGAGCAGAAGACGGUACCUGUCGAAUAAGCCACGGCUAACUACGUGCCAGCAGCCGCGGUAAUACGGAGGAUGCGAGCGUUAUCCGGAUUUAUUGGGUUUAAAGGGUGCGUAGGCGGAAUGCCAAGUCAGCGGUAAAAUCGCGGGGAUCAACCUCGCUCCGCCGUUGAAAAUGGCGUUCUUGAGUGGGCGAGAAGUAUGCGGAAGGCGUGGUGUAGCGGUGAAAUGCAUAGAUAUCACGCAGAACUCCGAUUGCGAAGGCAGCAUACCGGCGCCCAACUGACGCUGAAGCACGAAAGCGUGGGUAUCGAACAGGAUUAGAUACCCUAGUAGUC
rnacentral:rRNA from 1 species